GACGAACGCUGGCGGCGUGCUUAACACAUGCAAGUCGAACGGAAAGGCCCUGCUUUUGUGGGGUGCUCGAGUGGCGAACGGGUGAGUAACACGUGAGUAACCUGCCCUUGACUUUGGGAUAACUUCAGGAAACUGGGGCUAAUACCGGAUAGGAGCUCCUGCUGCAUGGUGGGGGUUGGAAAGUUUCGGCGGUUGGGGAUGGACUCGCGGCUUAUCAGCUUGUUGGUGGGGUAGUGGCUUACCAAGGCUUUGACGGGUAGCCGGCCUGUGAGGGUGACCGGCCACAUUGGGACUGAGAUACGGCCCAGACUCCUACGGGAGGCAGCAGUGGGGAAUAUUGCACAAUGGGCGGAAGCCUGAUGCAGCGACGCCGCGUGCGGAAUGACGGCCUUCGGGUUGUAAACCGCUUUCGCCUGUGACGAAGCGUGAGUGACGGUAAUGGGUAAAGAAGCACCGGCUAACUACGUG
rnacentral:rRNA from 1 species